rnacentral:rRNA from 1 species
UACAGAGGGGGCAAGCGUUGUUCGGAAUUACUGGGCGUAAAGGGCGCGUAGGCGGCCUGUUAAGUCGAACGUGAAAUCCCCGGGCUCAACCCGGGAACUGCGUCCGAUACUGGCAGGCUUGAAUUCGGGAGAGGGAUGCGGAAUUCCUGGUGUAGCGGUGAAAUGCGCAGAUAUCAGGAGGAACACCGGUGGCGAAGGCGGGUCUCUGGGCCGAUACUGACGCUGAGACUCGAAAGCGUGGGGAGCAAACAGG